AGAGUUUGAUCCUGGCUCAGGAUGAACGCUGGCGGCGUGCCUAAUACAUGCAAGUCGAGCGAACGGACGAGAAGCUUGCUUCUCUGAUGUUAGCGGCGGACGGGUGAGUAACACGUGGAUAACCUACCUAUAAGACUGGGAUAACUUCGGGAAACCGGAGCUAAUACCGGAUAAUAUUUUGAACCGCAUGGUUCAAAAGUGAAAGACGGUCUUGCUGUCACUUAUAGAUGGAUCCGCGCUGCAUUAGCUAGUUGGUAAGGUAACGGCUUACCAAGGCAACGAUGCAUAGCCGACCUGAGAGGGUGAUCGGCCACACUGGAACUGAGACACGGUCCAGACUCCUACGGGAGGCAGCAGUAGGGAAUCUUCCGCAAUGGGCGAAAGCCUGACGGAGCAACGCCGCGUGAGUGAUGAAGGUCUUCGGAUCGUAAAACUCUGUUAUUAGGGAAGAACAUAUGUGUAAGUAACUGUGCACAUCUUGACGGUACCUAAUCAGAAAGCCACGGCUAACUACGUGCCAGCAGCCGCGGUAAUACGUAGGUGGCAAGCGUUAUCCGGAAUUAUUGGGCGUAAAGCGCGCGUAGGCGGUUUUUUAAGUCUGAUGUGAAAGUCCACGGCUCAACCGUGGAGGGUCAUUGGAAACUGGAAAACUUGAGUGCAGAAGAGGAAAGUGGAAUUCCAUGUGUAGCGGUGAAAUGCGCAGAGAUAUGGAGGAACACCAGUGGCGAAGGCGACUUUCUGGUCUGUAACUGACGCUGAUGUGCGAAAGCGUGGGGAUCAAACAGGAUUAGAUACCCUGGUAGUCCACGCCGUAAACGAUGAGUGCUAAGUGUUAGGGGGUUUCCGCCCCUUAGUGCUGCAGCUAACGCAUUAAGCACUCCGCCUGGGGAGUACGACCGCAAGGUUGAAACUCAAAGGAAUUGACGGGGACCCGCACAAGCGGUGGAGCAUGUGGUUUAAUUCGAAGCAACGCGAAGAACCUUACCAAAUCUUGACAUCCUUUGACAACUCUAGAGAUAGAGCCUUCCCCUUCGGGGGACAAAGUGACAGGUGGUGCAUGGUUGUCGUCAGCUCGUGUCGUGAGAUGUUGGGUUAAGUCCCGCAACGAGCGCAACCCUUAAGCUUAGUUGCCAUCAUUAAGUUGGGCACUCUAAGUUGACUGCCGGUGACAAACCGGAGGAAGGUGGGGAUGACGUCAAAUCAUCAUGCCCCUUAUGAUUUGGGCUACACACGUGCUACAAUGGACAAUACAAAGGGCAGCGAAACCGCGAGGUCAAGCAAAUCCCAUAAAGUUGUUCUCAGUUCGGAUUGUAGUCUGCAACUCGACUACAUGAAGCUGGAAUCGCUAGUAAUCGUAGAUCAGCAUGCUACGGUGAAUACGUUCCCGGGUCUUGUACACACCGCCCGUCACACCACGAGAGUUUGUAACACCCGAAGCCGGUGGAGUAACCUUUUAGGAGCUAGCCGUCGAAGGUGGGACAAAUGAUUGGGGUGAAGUCGUAACAAGGUAGCCGUAUCGGAAGGUGCGGCUGGAUCACCU
rnacentral:rRNA from 1 species